UCUUCGGAUUUAGUGGCGGACGGGUGAGUAACGCGUGAGAAUCUGGCUCUAGGUCGGGGACAACAGUUGGAAACGACUGCUAAUACCGGAUGUGCCGAAAGGUAAAAGGCUUGCUGCCUAGAGAUGAGCUCGCGUCUGAUUAGCUAGUUGGUGUGGUAAGAGCGCACCAAGGCGACGAUCAGUAGCUGGUCUGAGAGGAUGAUCAGCCACACUGGGACUGAGACACGGCCCAGACUCCUACGGGAGGCAGCAGUGGGGAAUUUUCCGCAAUGGGCGAAAGCCUGACGGAGCAAUACCGCGUGAGGGAGGAAGGCUCUUGGGUUGUAAACCUCUUUUCUCAAGGAAUAAGUUCUGAAGGUACUUGAGGAAUAAGCAUCGGCUAACUCCGUGCCAGCAGCCGCGGUAAUACGGAGGAUGCAAGCGUUAUCCGGAAUGAUUGGGCGUAAAGGGUCCGCAGGUGGCACUGUAAGUCUGCUGUCAAAGAAUGAGGCUCAACCUCAUCAAGGCAGUGGAAACUACAGAGCUAGAGUACGGUCGGGGUAGAAGGAAUUCCUGGUGUAGCGGUGAAAUGCGUAGAGAUCAGGAAGAACACCGGUGGCGAAAGCGUUCUGCUAGGCCUGUACUGACACUGAGGGACGAAAGCUAGGGGAGCGAAUGGGAUUAGAUACCCCAGUAGUCCUAGCCGUAAACGAUGGAUACUAGGCGUGGCUUGUAUCGACCCGAGCCGUGCCGGAGCCAACGCGUUAAGUAUCCCGCCUGGGGAGUACGCACGCAAGUGUGAAACUCAAAGGAAUUGACGGGGGCCCGCACAAGCGGUGGAGUAUGUGGUUUAAUUCGAUGCAACGCGAAGAACCUUACCAAGACUUGACAUGUCGCGAAU
rnacentral:rRNA from 1 species